rnacentral:rRNA from 1 species
UACGUAGGGCGCAAGCGUUGUCCGGAAUUAUUGGGCGUAAAGAGCUCGUAGGCGGCUUGUCACGUCGGGUGUGAAAGCCCGGGGCUUAACCCCGGGUCUGCAUUCGAUACGGGCUAGCUAGAGUGUGGUAGGGGAGAUCGGAAUUCCUGGUGUAGCGGUGAAAUGCGCAGAUAUCAGGAGGAACACCGGUGACGAAGGCGGAUCUCUGGGCCAUUACUGACGCUGAGGAGCGAAAGCGUGGGGAGCAAACAGG